rnacentral:rRNA from 1 species
AGAAUUUGAACAUGGGUCAGGACGAACGCUGGGGGCGUGGUUAACACAUGCAAGUCGAACGGAAAGGCCCUGCUUUUGUGGGGUGCUCGAGUGGCGAACGGGUGAGUAACACGUGAGUAACCUGCCCUUGACUUUGGGAUAACUUCAGGAAACUGGGGCUAAUACCGGAUAGGAGCUCCUGCUGCAUGGUGGGGGUUGGAAAGUUUCGGCGGUUGGGGAUGGACUCGCGGCUUAUCAGCUUGUUGGUGGGGUAGUGGCUUACCAAGGCUUUGACGGGUAGCCGGCCUGAGAGGGUGACCGGCCACAUUGGGACUGAGAUACGGCCCGGACUCCUACGGGAGGCAGC